rnacentral:rRNA from 1 species
UAGGGAAUCUUCCACAAUGGACGCAAGUCUGAUGGAGCAACGCCGCGUGAGUGAAGAAGGUCUUCGGAUCGUAAAACUCUGUUGUUAGAGAAGAACAUGCGAGAGAGUAACUGUUCUUGUAUUGACGGUAUCUAACCAGAAAGCCACGGCUAACUACGUGCAAG